rnacentral:rRNA from 1 species
UACGUAGGGUCCGAGCGUUGUCCGGAAUUAUUGGGCGUAAAGAGCUCGUAGGCGGCUUGUCACGUCGGGUGUGAAAGCCCGGGGCUUAACCCCGGGUCUGCAUUCGAUACGGGCUAGCUAGAGUGUGGUAGGGGAGAUCGAAUUCCUGGUGUAGCGGUGAAAUGCGCAGAUAUCAGGAGGAACACCGGUGGCGAAGGCGGAUCUCUGGGCCAUUACUGACGCUGAGGAGCGAAAGCGUGGGGAGCGAACAGG